UACGUAGGCAGCGAGCGUUGUUCGGAGUUACUGGGCGUAAAGAGUGCGUAGGCGGUUUUCUAAGUUUGGUGUGAAAUCUCCCGGCUUAACUGGGAGGGUGCGCCGAAGACUGGAAGGCUUGAGUAUGGGAGAGGUAAGCGGAAUUCCUGGUGUAGCGGUGAAAUGCGUAGAUAUCAGGAGGAACACCUGCGGUGUAGACGGCUUACUGGACCAUAACUGACGCUGAGGCACGAAAGCGUGGGGAGCGAACAGG
rnacentral:rRNA from 1 species